rnacentral:rRNA from 1 species
ACCCAAUAGAUACCCGGGUAGUCCACGCCGUAAACGAUGGGCACUAGGUCCCUUGGGGGAGCGACCCCGUGAGGGCCGGCGCUAAACGCAUUAAAGUGCCCCGCCUGGGGAGUACGGCCGCAAGGCUGAAACUCAAAGGAAUUGACGGGGGCCCGCACAAGCGGUGGAGCGUGUGGUUUAAUUCGACGCAAACGCGAAGAACCUUACCUAGGCUUGACAUGGCCGGGAAAGCCAGGGGGAAACCUUGGCCCCUCUUCGGAGUCCGGUCACAGGUGCUGCAUGGCUGUCGUCAGCUCGUGUCGUGAGAUGUUGGGUUAAGUCCCGCAACGAGCGCAACCCUUGUCACUAGUUACCAGCGGGUCAUGCCGGGCACUCUAGUGAGACUGCCGGUGCCAAACCGGAGGAAGGUGGGGAUGACGUCAAGUCAUCAUGGUCCUUACGUCUAGGGCUACACACGUGCUACAAUGGACGGGACAACGGGUUGCCAACCCGCAAGGGGGAGCCAAUCCCACAAAUCCGUCCUCAGUUCGGAUUGUCGUCUGCAACUCGACGGCAUGAAGCUGGAA